UUAAAUAAUGUGCAUUUGCUGUAAAUAUGGACGAAUAUCAAAGAUGUUGGGUAAUAGUGGGGUAUGACAUUAGUUUGGCAAUCCUCAAUAAUAACCAACAUACAGAC